AAUUUGGUAUGAACAAAAGCCUAUAAAAGAGACUGGGACUUAAGUGCGUCUGGUUUACCCUCUGAGAACAAUGCAGCUGCCAAACCAAUCUGGAAGCUCCGACAUCAUUGUUCUGUAAACCUCACAAUCUGCUCUGACUGCAGGAAGUGUAUUUAAUGGGCAACAUUUUUGAUCUCCCCUAAAAAGUUUGGAUUUUGCAUAAGUGCUGUUGUGAGAUAAUUCGUCAAGAUAAUGAUUCACCGACCAAAUCCCUGAAUUGAACUAGGAAAUAUUAUUUU
rnacentral:lncRNA from 1 species